rnacentral:pre_miRNA from 1 species
GAUCCAUUGUACUGAUUCCGAAGGAGAAGACAGUCUCUGACUUCUCGCAGAGUGAGCCUGUUUCUGCAGUACUGGAACGAUUGGUUGAGACCACUGGCACUAGGCAAAAACCUUGUUUCUGGUGACUUGGUCUGGGAUCGUACAGAGCUGCAGAACGCUUGACAUGCGGGAAAUCAGAGACAGUCGCUUCCUUUGGUUUCUAAUUGUCACCA